CUACCCUGAUUGUGCUCAUAGAAAGAAAAUAUACACAUCAGAUGAUGAGCCUUGCGAUACUCCCCACAAAAAAAAGAAACUAAAUAAAGAAAAAAGUCUACCAACACCAAGGGUCCCACCUGCACCAAAAGUUCCAACACCCCCAAAACAUAUCAGGGCAAAAGCAUUUGUCCGUGACCACCAAAAAGCUACAGAAAAGCAACAGCAGGCCUGUUUUGAAACUCCCUCCACUAGUCAAGUUUCAGCUCCAGACGUACCUGUGAGGUUCUGCCAGGAAGUGGAGCACCAAGACACUUGGGAUAAACCCCAACCUGAAAAUCAAG